rnacentral:rRNA from 1 species
GGGGAAUAUUGGACAAUGGGCGAAAGCCCUAUCCAGUCAUGCCCCGUGUGUGAAGAAGGUCUUCGGAUUGUAAAGCACUUUAAGUUGGGCGGAAGGGUUGUAGAUUAAUACUCUGCAACUUUGACGUUACCGACAGAAUAAGAACAGGCUAACUUCGUGCCAGCAGCCGCGGUAAUACGAAGGGUGCAAGCGUUAAUCGGAAUUACUGGGCGUAAAGCGCGCGUAGGUGGUUCGUUAAGUUGGAUGUGAAAGCCCCGGGCUCAACCUGGGAACUGCAUCCAAAACUGGCGGGCUAGAGUACGGUAGAGGGUGGUGGAAUUCCUAGUGUAGCGGUGAAAUGCGUAGAUAUAGGAAGGAACACCAGUGGCGAAGGCGACCACCUGGGCUAAUACUGACACUGAGGUGCGAAAGCGUGGGGAGCAAACA